rnacentral:tRNA from 1 species
GCCUGCCUAGCUCAAUCGGAUAGAGCGUCAGACUCUUAAUCUGAAGGCUGUGAGUUCGACCCCCGCGGUGGGCU